GAGUUUGAUCUUGGCUCAGAUUGAACGCUGGCGGCAUGCCUUACACAUGCAAGUCGAACGGCAGCACGGGAGCUUGCUCCUGGUGGCGAGUGGCGAACGGGUGAGUAAUGCAUCGGAACGUAUCCUGGAGUGGGGGAUAACGUAGCGAAAGUUACGCUAAUACCGCAUAUUCUGUGAGCAGGAAAGCGGGGGACCUUCGGGCCUCGCGCUCUUGGAGCGGCCGAUGUCGGAUUAGCUAGUUGGUGAGGUAAAGGCUCACCAAGGCGACGAUCCGUAGCAGGUCUGAGAGGAUGAUCUGCCACACUGGAACUGAGACACGGUCCAGACUCCUACGGGAGGCAGCAGUGGGAAUUUUGGACAAUGGGGGCAACCCUGAUCCAGCCAUGCCGCGUGAGUGAAGAAGGCCUUCGG
rnacentral:rRNA from 3 species